rnacentral:rRNA from 1 species
AGAGUUUGAUCCUGGCUCAGGACGAACGCUGGCGGCGUGCAUAAUGCAUGCAAGUCGAACGCAGCAGCUUCGGCUGGCUGCGUGGCGAACGGCUGAGGAACACGUGGGUGACCUGCCCCAGAGUGGGGGAUACCCCGUCGAAAGACGGGAUAAUCCCGCAUACGCUCUACGGAGGAAAGCCCCUACGGGCGCUCUGGGAGGGGCCUGCGGCCCAUCAGGUUGUUGGUGUGGUAACGGCGCACCAAGCCACUGACGGGUACCCGGUCUGAGAGGACGGCCGGGCAGACUGGGACUGCGACACGGCCCAGACUCCUACGGGAGGCAGCAGCAAGGAAUUUUCCCCAAUGGGCGCAAGCCUGAGGGAGCAACGCCGCGUGGAGGACGACGGCCUUCGGGUUGUAAACUCCUUUCGGGUGGGACGACUCCGACGGUACCACCAGAAGCAGCCCCGGCUAACUCUGUGCCAGCAGCCGCGGUAAGACAGAGGGGGCAAGCGUUGUCCGGAGUUACUGGGCGUAAAGGGCGCGGAGGCGGUCUGCGGCGUCGGCGCUGAAAGCGCCCCGCUUAACGGGGCGAGGCGUGCCGAUACGCGCAGACUUGAGGCGAGCAGAGGGUGGUGGAAUUCCGGGUGGAGCGGUGAAAUGCGUAGAGAUCCGGAGGAACGCCAGUGGGGAAGCCGGCCACCUGGGCUCGGCCUGACGCUGCGGCGCGACCGCGUGGGGAGCAAACCGGAUUAGAUACCCGGGUAGUCCACGCCGUAAACGAUGCCAGCUCGGCGUGUGGCGCACGGUCGUGCGCUGCGUGCCUUAGCUCACGCGAUAAGCUCCCGCCUGGGGACUACGAGCGCAAGCUUGCAUGCCUGCAGGUCGACUCUAGAGUCCCCUAGACGGCGCACUGCU